CAUUCAGAAAACUAAGAUCAUGACAUCCAGUCCCAUCACUUCAUGGCAAAUAGAUGGGGAAACAAUGGAAGCAGUGACAGAUUUUAUUUUCUUGGGCUCCAAAAUCACUGCAGACAGUGACUGCAGCCAUGAAAUUAAAAGACACUUGCACCUGGGAAGGAAA